CCGGAAGUUCCGGCGAGUGUUUGUGUGUGUGUGUGUGUGUUGGUGCUCUUGGACAGGUCAAUGGAUAUGACUGUAGGUGGAACUGGACUCCAGGAUGCAGUGCAUCGAGAUCCUGUCCAGUUCAAGCUAAAAAUGGAUGCACUCGAAAAACCAGUUAACCGGAAGUUCCAGCGAAUGAUUGUGUGUGUGUUGGUGCUAUUGGACAAAUCACUGGAUAUGUUUGGUUGAAUAUGGAUUACUGGAUAUACAUACAUAUAUGGAAAUGUCAUCGUUCACGACUCCAGAGCAUCGGAAACUUCUUCAGAUAAAAAACUGAAUAUUUAUGGCGAAAAAGGGACUCUGCUUUUGGUCAAGAAUAUUCUUUUUACCAUGGGAUCCAAAGUUGAGUUAUACACAAUGUUUUGGCCUUGAAACUCAAUACAGUCUCCUUCGCCUUCGACUAAUGUCAAUCAAUUACGAGGAGUACACCAGUAAUGCCGCAAUAAAGCGGGCUUACCAGGAGAUAUCGAUGACGCGGAUCACCUCCAGUUGCCAGAUCAACCAGCCCAGAGGACUCUCUCGCAUGUGGGUGGGCCAGGAUCGAUUCCUAAUCCCAUUGCCCAUUGUACGAACGUGGAUGCAUUGUGCAACAGCGGAAACACGAUCGAGCAGCCAUUUCCAUCAACGGAUAAUCUCCGUCAAACAUCUGCAGAAAUAUGGAAUAUCAUAAUAUUCCAGCGAGUCAAACAACAGAUGAGAUUCGAUCCCGAACUCGAAUCUCGAAGUGCACAAAGGAAUGCCAAAAUCGUAGAGCAUCUACCCAAGGAACCUCCUUUGUUGCCCUCGCAUUGUACCAGAGUAUCUUGUGUAAUUAUGGCGUAAUUGCUGGGCAUUGUUUGGUCAGAUAGAUGGAGU